rnacentral:lncRNA from 1 species
AUAUUUUUGUUCAAGCUGCAGUCUACGGCAUUAUAGUUUAUGCGAUGAUUGGAUUUGAAUGGACUGUUGUUAAGUUCUUUUGGUAUCUGUUCUUUAUGUACUUCACAUUAUUAUACUUCACCUUCUACGGAAUGAUGGCUGUUGCAAUGACUCCAAACCACCACAUUGCUGCCAUAGUUUCCUCUGCAUUUUAUGGAAUAUGGAACCUAUUCUCAGGGUUUAUAAUUCCUCGGCCCGUAAGUGUUUCACUAUCUUAUCAUUUCAAAUUCCAAAUUUCCAUAGUGUUGGGUUACCUUGUGGAAUAAUUUUGCGAUUCAUUUAUGUGCUUUGGUCUAUAACAGAGCAUGCCUAUAUGGUGGAGAUGGUACUCCUGGGCUUGUCCAAUAGCAUGGACCUUGUAUGGAUUGGUUGUAUCACAGUUUGGAGAUAUACAGAAAGACCUUACCGAAACUCAAACAGUGAAAGAAUAUGUGAAGGAUUAUUUUGGUUUCGACCAUGAUUUUCUUGGAGUAGUCGCAGCGGCAAUUGUUGGGUGGACUGUCCUCUUUGCUUUCAUAUUUGCCUUUGCUAUCAAGGCUUUCAACUUCCAGAGGCGAUAGAAAUUUUAUUUACACACACACACACACACAUAUAUGCUUUUACUUUAUUUUUAAUUCGUUUACGUUCUGUAUAGGCUAUGUAGGUUUUAUUGUCAAUUUCGCAAAGCGCUUAAAGCUAUAUUAAUACGAGUACAAGAAUUUCUUGGUCUUGCUUUAAAGCUUGCCUAAAGUAAUAUUUUAACUUUUCUUCAUUUGUUUU